GUAGAGCACUGUUAAGGCUAGGGGGUCAUCCCGACUUACCAACCCUUUGCUUACUCCGAAUACCAAAGAGUGCUAUCCGGGAGACAGACGGCGGGUGCUAACGUCCGUCGUCAAAAGGGAAACAACCCAGACCGUCAGCUAAGGUCCCAAAGUGUAUGUUAAGUGGGAAACGAUGUGGGAAGGCUUAGACAGCUAGGAUGUUGGCUUAGAAGCAGCCAUCAUUUAAAGAAAGCGUAAUAGCUCACUAGUCGAGUCGGCCUGCGCGGAAGAUGUAACGGGGCUAAACAUACCACCGAAGCUACGGGUGCAAUCCAUUAGGGUUGCGCGGUAGAGGAGCGUUCUGUAAGCCGUUGAAGGUGAAGGGGUAACCCACUCUGGAGGUAUCAGAAGUGCGAAUGCUGACAUGAGUAACGAUAAAGGGGGUGAAAAACCCCCUCGCCGAAAGACCAAGGGUUCCUGUCCAACGUUAAUCGGGGCAGGGUGAGUCGACCCCUAAGGCGAGGCCGAAAGGCGUAGUCGAUGGGAAACAGAUUAAUAUUUCUGUACUUCCGCUAACUGCGAUGGAGAGACGGAGAAGGCUAGGCUAGCGCGGCGUUGGUAGUCCGCGUUUAAGGUGGUAGGUGGGUGACUUAGGCAAAUCCGGGUCACCAUACACUGAGAGCUGAUGACGAGUCCCCAAGGGGAUGAAGUAGUUGAUGCCAUGCUUCCAGGAAAAUCUUCUAAGCUUCAGGUUAGCGGGAAUCGUACCCCAAACCGACACAGGUGGUCGGGUAGAGAAUACCAAGGCGCUUGAGAGAACUCGGCUGAAGGAACUAGGCAAAAUGGUACCGUAACUUCGGGAGAAGGUACGCUGCUGUUGGUGAUGGGACUUGCUCCCUAAGCUGACGGCAGUCGCAGAUACCAGGUGGCUGCAACUGUUUAUCAAAAACACAGCACUGUGCAAAAUCGCAAGAUGACGUAUACGGUGUGACGCCUGCCCGGUGCCGGAAGGUUAAUUGAUUGGGUUAUCGCAAGAGAAGCUCAUGAUCGAAGCCCCGGUAAACGGCGGCCGUAACUAUAACGGUCCUAAGGUAGCGAAAUUCCUUGUCGGGUAAGUUCCGACCUGCACGAAUGGCGUAAUGAUGGCCACGCUGUCUCCAGCCGAGACUCAGUGAAGUUGAAAUUGCGGUGAAGAUGCCGUAUACCCGCGGCUAGACGGAAAGACCCCGUGAACCUUUACUAUAGCUUGGCACUGAACAUUGACCCUACAUGUGUAGGAUAGGUGGGAGACUUUGAAGCGGGAACGCUAGUUCUCGUGGAGUCGUCCUUGAAAUACCACCCUUGUAGUGUUGAUGUUCUAACUUGGGCCCCUAAUCGGGGUUAAGGACAGUGCCUGGUGGGUAGUUUGACUGGGGCGGUCUCCUCCCAAAGAGUAACGGAGGAGCACGAAGGUUGGCUAAGUACGGUCGGACAUCGUACGGUUAGUGCAAUGGCAUAAGCCAGCUUAACUGCGAGACAGACACGUCGAGCAGGUACGAAAGUAGGUCAUAGUGAUCCGGUGGUUCUGAAUGGAAGGGCCAUCGCUCAACGGAUAAAAGGUACUCCGGGGAUAACAGGCUGAUACCGCCCAAGAGUUCAUAUCGACGGCGGUGUUUGGCACCUCGAUGUCGGCUCAUCACAUCCUGGGGCUGAAGUCGGUCCCAAGGGUAUGGCUGUUCGCCAUUUAAAGUGGUACGCGAGCUGGGUUCAGAACGUCGUGAGACAGUUCGGUCCCUAUCUGCCGUGGGCGUUGGAUGAUUGAGGGGAGUUGCUCCUAGUACGAGAGGACCGGAGUGAACGAACCGCUGGUGUUCGGGUUGUCAUGCCAAUGGCAUUGCCCGGUAGCUAUGUUCGGAAUCGAUAACCGCUGAAAGCAUCUAAGCGGGAAGCGAGCCCCAAGAUGAGUCAUCCCUUGGACUUUAAGUCCACUAAAGAGCCGUUCGAGACUAGGACGUUGAUAGGUCAGGUGUGUAAGCGUUGUGAGGCGUUGAGCUAACUGAUACUAAUGACUCGAGAGGCUUAACCAU
rnacentral:rRNA from 1 species